rnacentral:lncRNA from 1 species
UUUUUUCUCUAGCAACACUAUCUCAUAGAGAUGCUCAACGGUGUGAAACAUGUAAUCCAUAGGAGUUUUCUUGGACCUAGGAAGAUAAGACUCAUUGUCUCUCCUUUUCACGAGUCCCUUAUCUUUCCUCUUCUUCAUGUCUCUUCUGCCUCUAGAUGAGCAUCACGUCAUGAGCCGGCAGGAAUGGUCUCAAUUUAUUGAUAUUAGCUGGUGCAUCUUCUUCUUCUUCUUCUUCUUCUUCUUCUUCUUCUUCUUCUUCUUCUUCUUUGACAACCGUCUUCUUCUUUAUGGCAUCUUCUUGUUGGCCGCAGCAUCGCUCUUGCCUUUACCUUAAUUUGCAAGGUUUGCAGAUGCUCUUAUACCACCAACAGUACAAGUUUGUUCUUCC